rnacentral:misc_RNA from 1 species
UGAGAACUCAGUAACAAAUGAUUUAGAACUGGAGAAAAAAUCCAAUAACAUUGACACCAACGUUGUCAAUGGGGAUAAAACAAACUCAAAAUCAGAGCUUGGAGGUGUAACAGCUGAUAAUGACCCUCCACUGAAUGUGACAGCUGGUGAAAAGAAGGAUGAUGAUAUCAUCAACGCUGAGGAUCUAUCAACCAAACAUGCAACAUUUGUUUCUGUAUCCAAUGACCAAGCAGAACUAAGCAAUACAUCAAUAGAUGUAAAUGUAGAAGCUGGCAAUAACACAGCACGUGGGAGUACCAAGACUUCUGGUUCAUCCCAGAAUAAUGGAACACUAGUUACAUCUGAUUCAAAUCAAGUUCAAAAUGCAACAAUUGGUGGUGCUAGCACUGGGAAAGCAUCUAACCUGAAAACCGCUGAAUUGGAACAGGUUAAUAGCACCAUGGUUUCCGGUAACAGAGAAAAUGAUUCUAAUUCAAGUAUCCCUGAUAAAACUGAGAAUGGUGACAUGGGUGCUGCAGAUUCAAAUUCCUCUACUAAAUCAGAGCCAGCUGGAUCAGAUAAGGUCGUUAAACCUGAAGUCACUACUGAAGCACAGGUCAAGUCUGAUGGAUCAGAUAAGAUCAUUAAACCUGAACCUGAAGUUAAAACUGAAGCAGAGGUCAAUUCUGGUUCAUCUUCAACAACAAAGGAGACUGCAGAUGCUGCUAAAGACGAGAACUCAGAUGUCAAGAAUGAAUCAGGUGGAGCAGGAGGAGACUCAGGCUCUUCUGCAACAGAUGGAACUGAAGCCGUUGUUCAGGAUCACAUUGAUUCUUCUGAUUCUUCAGUUGG